rnacentral:rRNA from 1 species
GACGAACCGUGCGAACGUUGUUCGGAAUCACUGGGCUUAAAGGGCGCGUAGGCGGGCCCGCAAGUCAGGGGUGAAAUCCCACGGCUCAACCGUGGAAGUGCCUUUGAUACUGCGGGUCUCGAGGGAGGUAGGGGCGUGCGGAACUUCCGGUGGAGCGGUGAAAUGCGUAGAUAUCGGAAGGAACACCGGUGGCGAAGGCGGAUCUCUGGGCCGAUACUGACGCUGAGGAGCGAAAGCGUGGGGAGCGAACAGG